rfam:Myotis davidii contig58960, whole genome shotgun sequence.
CUGUCUCUUGCUUCAACAGUGCUUGGACAGAACAG